CACGAACUGUGCAAACGUUAUUCGGAAUUACUGGGCUUGAAGCGUUCGUAGGCGGCUCGUUAAGUCGGAUGUGAAAUACCUCGUCUCAACCGAGGAAUUGCGUUCGAAACUGGCGGGCUCGAGUGAGAUAGAGGUGAGCGGAACUGAUGGUGGAGCGGUGAAAUGCGUUGAUAUCAUCAGGAACACCGGUUGCGAAAGCGGCUCACUGGGUCUUAACUGACGCUGAGGAACGAAAGCCAGGGGAGCGAACGGG
rnacentral:rRNA from 1 species